CUAAGCGUACACGGUGGAUGCCCUGGCAGUCAGAGGCGAUGAAGGACGUGCUAAUCUGCGAUAAGCGUCGGUAAGGUGAUAUGAACCGUUAUAACCGGCGAUUUCCGAAUGGGGAAACCCAGUGUGAUUCGUCACACUAUCAUUACGUGAAUACAUAGCGUAAUGAAGCGAACCGGGGGAACUGAAACAUCUAAGUACCCCGAGGAAAAGAAAUCAACCGAGAUUCCCCCAGUAGCGGCGAGCGAACGGGGAGCAGCCCAGAGUCUGAAUCAGCUUGUGUGUUAGUGGAACGGUCUGGAAAGUCCGACGGUACAGGGUGAUAGUCCCGUACACCAAAAUGCACAGGUUGUGAACUCGAAGAGUAGGGCGGGACACGUGGUAUCCUGUCUGAAUAUGGGGGGACCAUCCUCCAAGGCUAAAUACUCCUGACUGACCGAUAGUGAACCAGUACCGUGAGGGAAAGGCGAAAAGAACCCCGGCGAGGGGAGUGAAAAAGAACCUGAAACCGUGUACGUACAAGCAGUGGGAGCAUCCUUCGGGAUGUGACUGCGUACCUUUUGUAUAAUGGGUCAGCGACUUAUAUUCUGUAGCAAGGUUAACCGUAUAGGGGAGCCGAAGGGAAACCGAGUCUUAACUGGGCGUUAAGUUGCAGGGUAUAGACCCGAAACCCGGUGAUCUAGCCAUGGGCAGGUUGAAGGUUGGGUAACACUAACUGGAGGACCGAACCGACUAAUGUUGAAAAAUUAGCGGAUGACUUGUGGCUGGGGGUGAAAGGCCAAUCAAACCGGGAGAUAGCUGGUUCUCCCCGAAAGCUAUUUAGGUAGCGCCUCGUGAAUUCAUCUUCGGGGGUAGAGCACUGUUUCGGCUAGGGGGUCAUCCCGACUUACCAACCCGAUGCAAACUGCGAAUACCGAAGAAUGUUAUCACGGGAGACACACGGCGGGUGCUAACGUCCGUCGUGAAGAGGGAAACAACCCAGACCGCCAGCUAAGGUCCCAAAGUCAUGGUUAAGUGGGAAACGAUGUGGGAAGGCCCAGACAGCCAGGAUGUUGGCUUAGAAGCAGCCAUCAUUUAAAGAAAGCGUAAUAGCUCACUGGUCGAGUCGGCCUGCGCGGAAGAUGUAACGGGGCUAAACCAUGCACCGAAGCUGCGGCAGCGACACUAUGUGUUGUUGGGUAGGGGAGCGUUCUGUAAGCCGUUGAAGGUGUGUCGUGAGGCAUGCUGGAGGUAUCAGAAGUGCGAAUGCUGACAUAAGUAACGAUAAUGCGGGUGAAAAACCCGCACGCCGGAAGACCAAGGGUUCCUGUCCAACGUUAAUCGGGGCAGGGUGAGUCGACCCCUAAGGCGAGGCCGAAAGGCGUAGUCGAUGGGAAACAGGUUAAUAUUCCUGUACUUGGUGUUACUGCGAAGGGGGGACGGAGAAGGCUAUGUUGGCCGGGCGACGGUUGUCCCGGUUUAAGCAUGUAGGCGGAGGUUCCAGGUAAAUCCGGUACCUUUUAACGCUGAGGUGUGAUGACGAGGCACUACGGUGCUGAAGUGACAAAUGCCCUGCUUCCAGGAAAAGCCUCUAAGCAUCAGGUAACACGAAAUCGUACCCCAAACCGACACAGGUGGUCAGGUAGAGAAUACCAAGGCGCUUGAGAGAACUCGGGUGAAGGAACUAGGCAAAAUGGUGCCGUAACUUCGGGAGAAGGCACGCUGAUAUGUAGGUGAAGCGGUUUACCCGUGGAGCUGAAAUCAGUCGAAGAUACCAGCUGGCUGCAACUGUUUAUUAAAAACACAGCACUGUGCAAACACGAAAGUGGACGUAUACGGUGUGACGCCUGCCCGGUGCCGGAAGGUUAAUUGAUGGGGUUAUCCGUAAGGAGAAGCUCUUGAUCGAAGCCCCGGUAAACGGCGGCCGUAACUAUAACGGUCCUAAGGUAGCGAAAUUCCUUGUCGGGUAAGUUCCGACCUGCACGAAUGGCGUAAUGAUGGCCAGGCUGUCUCCACCCGAGACUCAGUGAAAUUGAACUCGCUGUGAAGAUGCAGUGUACCCGCGGCAAGACGGAAAGACCCCGUGAACCUUUACUAUAGCUUGACACUGAACACUGGUCCUUGAUGUGUAGGAUAGGUGGGAGGCUUUGAAGCGUGGACGCCAGUCUGCGUGGAGCCAACCUUGAAAUACCACCCUUUAAUGGCUGGUGUUCUAACGUGGACCCGUGAUCCGGGUUGCGGACAGUGUCUGGUGGGUAGUUUGACUGGGGCGGUCUCCUCCUAAAGAGUAACGGAGGAGCACGAAGGUUAGCUAAUCCUGGUCGGACAUCAGGAGGUUAGUGCAAAGGCAUAAGCUAGCUUGACUGCGAGAGUGACGGCUCGAGCAGGUGCGAAAGCAGGUCUUAGUGAUCCGGUGGUUCUGAAUGGAAGGGCCAUCGCUCAACGGAUAAAAGGUACUCCGGGGAUAACAGGCUGAUACCGCCCAAGAGUUCAUAUCGACGGCGGUGUUUGGCACCUCGAUGUCGGCUCAUCACAUCCUGGGGCUGAAGUAGGUCCCAAGGGUAUGGCUGUUCGCCAUUUAAAGUGGUACGCGAGCUGGGUUUAGAACGUCGUGAGACAGUUCGGUCCCUAUCUGCCGUGGGCGCUGGAGAAUUGAGGGGGGCUGCUCCUAGUACGAGAGGACCGGAGUGGACGCAUCACUGGUGUUCGGGUUGUCAUGCCAAUGGCAUUGCCCGGUAGCUAAAUGCGGAAGAGAUAAGUGCUGAAAGCAUCUAAGCACGAAACUUGCCCCGAGAUGAGUUCUCCCUGAGACUUUAAGUCUCCUGAAGGAACGUUAAAGACGAUGACGUUGAUAGGUCGGGUGUGUAAGUGUAGCGAUACAUUGAGCUAACCGAUACUAAUGAACCGUGAGGCUUAACCUUACAAC
rnacentral:rRNA from 1 species